GAAAUGCGAUAAGUAGUGUGAAUUGCAGAAUGCAGUGAAUCAUCGAAUCUUUGAACGCACAUUGCGCCCUAUGGUAUUCCGUAGGGCAUGCCUGUUCGAGCGUCAUUUACACCUUCAAGCCUUGCUUGGUGUUGGGUGACUGUGGCCCCUUUGGGGCCACUCGCCUUAAAGUCAUUGGCGGCCGGUUCGUUGGCUUUGUAGCGCAGCACAAUUGCGUCCUCGAAGCCGCUGGACCAGCUCCCAGAAGCUAAUUUUAAAUGUUUGACCUCGAACCAGGUAGGGAUACCCGCUGAACUUAAGC
rnacentral:misc_RNA from 1 species